CGCCUGUUUAACAAAAACAUCGCUCUCUGUGUAUAAAAAAUAAAGAGUCUUACCUGCUCAAUGAAUUUAAUAAUUUAAAUAGCCGCGGUACUCUAACCGUGCAAAGGUAGCAUAAUCAUUUGCCUUUUAAUUAAUGGCCAGUAUGAAUGGUAUAAUGAGAGUAAAGCUGUCUCCUUAUUACUUUAUUGAAAUUAACCUUUAGGCGAAAAGACCUAAAUAAAUAUACAAGACAAAUAGACCCUAUCGAACUUCAAGUGUUAAAAGCAAUUUACUAAAAAUAAGAAGCCUUAAAACUUUUAGUUGGGGCAACUUAGGAACAAACAAAGCUUCCUUUUAUUAAUAUAACUCUCGAGUUAAGGCCCAGGAAUUUUUCCUGAUAAACGGAAAAAGUUACCGUAGGGAUAACAGCGUAAUUCCCCUGGUGAGCCCUUAUUAAAAGGGGAGUUUGCGACCUCGAUGUGGAU
rnacentral:rRNA from 1 species